CCAAGCCCCGGUCCUCUCCCGGGAGAUCUCCAGUAGUCCUGAGCCUCUCCCAGGCGAAAGCCCGGUCAGUGGAGCCGGUCGCGGCAGCUGGCGGGCUGGCCCGCCGUUUGGGAGAGCCUCCAGGUGUUGUGGAGGCUGGGCGGGGCCUCUCCAAUAAUGGCAGGCAAAGACCCUGUCUGCUGCCGGGGAUGGGACUUCAGAGUUUCUCCCCCAGGUCGCGUUGCCAGCUGCUGAAGCUCCACCCAGCCCCGGGACCUCUCCCAGAUCUUCAGUAGUCCUGAUCCCCUCCCGGGCGAGAGCCCGGUCAGGGGAGCCAGCGGCGGCAGCUGGUGGGCCGGCGCGCCGCUUGAGAUUCUCUCCGGGGGCCCCCAGGUGUUGUGGGUGCUGGGCGGGGCCUCUCCGAUAAUGGCAGGGAAAGACUCUGCCUGCGGCCAGGACUGAACUCUAGAGUUUCUCCCCCGGGCCGUGUAGCCAAUCGCUGGAGCUCCACUCAGCCCCAGACCUCUCCCAGGAGAUCUCCGGUAGUCUCGAUCCCCUCCUGGACGAAAACCAGGUCAGGGGAGCCGGCGGCGGCAGCUGGUGGGCCAGCGCGCCGCUUGGGAUUCUCUCCGGGGGGCCCCCAGGCUUUGUGGAUGCUGGACGGGACCUCUCUGCUAAUGGCAGGCUAAAACACUGAUGAAUCAUUGAACUAAUGAGGCCAGUGUUCUAUAGGAUGGAAGACAAAGAAGAUGGAAGGAACCUGGUUCUCUGGUUCCACAUGGAGAGGAGCCACACUGCCAAUCCAGACACCCACCUCAGUGCUGUCACCAGAGACAGAAACAAACUUUUAAACUUUAAAUAUUUAAACUUUAAAUAGAGUAAACAUAGUCCUGAUUUUCUUAGAACGGUCCUGUCUUAUGCCUGUUGUCUUGGCAUAAUUAUAAAUGGCAUUCUCUUUCACUAUCAAAAUAAAUUGCAUGAUAAACCUCUUUUAAUUCGAUGUACCAUGCCACCUCUUCAUAUUAGCAGCUUAGAUUCUCUACAACCAAUAUAGAAAUUGGUGCCUAACAUAUGUGUGAUUAGCAGUCCUGUGGUGGGAGGUGAGGGCAGGUCUAGAUCAGCUUAGAAGACUAGAGACCCUUGUUAUACACUGGUAAGAGUUGAUAAAAUUGUCCCCUGUGGUAACUUGAAAGGCAGACCACGUGUACCUACCAAACCUGCAGCCGUAGUGCCAGAAUGUUAAUCGGUGUUGGUAGUCCUUGCUGCAUUUAGCAAGGUAUUACAAGGAAGAAGUAACCACAGGCAAGAAUUGGCAAGUUGAAAAGCAGAGAUAGAACAGAUGAGGUUGGAAAUACCUUCUGCUUCUAUAUACCAAACAACAGUGGAUUCAUAACUGUCAUUUUUCAGAGCCUUUCUCAAAGACCUACCAUUAAGCAAAAAGAUCAAUUAAGAGUUUUACCUUGACACAUAAACUCAUGUUUCAGAUGUCCUCAAAAUAGGUGGCUUUAAAAUAAGGAAGAGAGGGAUGGAGUCUGGAAGCCAGCAAAGAAGGUGGGCCUAAGAGCUAUGUGCAGAAAAGGGUUUGGCGUAUGGUGACUGGAACCAGGGACUAACUGGAAGGAAUAAAACUGCUAAGAAGUCUACUAAAUUUUUGAAGUCACAAACGUGGCUUACAAAUGCCUGUGACUACUUGAGCCCCAUGAGGCAUAUACUCCACAUCCACUUCAGAUAUUAGCAUGGACCCAGUGAACAAAGAAGACCCUCCCAGAUGGCACAGCCAGGGGCCCAGGAAGGUGAUGAUCAAGAGAGUAGCUCUGAGAGAAGCAGAACCACUGGUGGGAGGAUGGACCAGCCAAGCACGCGUUCGAUUGUCAAGACAGAGACUCAACACGAUUCCCGCACAGUUAAGGACAGCGAAUUUGCAUUUUGUUCUUCCCUUUUCCCAACUGAAGCCUUAUUGCAGGUCAUAGAUGUCUUGUGAGUAAUGCUGAAUAGACUAUUCAAGAAACCAGGUGCUUCUUCUUUGAAAUUCUCAUUGUCAUAAGGGAAGUUGAGACAACAACUCCUCCAGAUUCUCAUUUUGCCUACAACUUGAUGCCACCUUGUGUCCAGCCUAGCUCUUGAUGCCUCCAGGAUUUGCUUCCCAAGCAGUUGUUCGGGGCUCCUUUACACGGCAUGUCUGUGAUCUGAAUUGUCCAUGAUGGCUUUUAGCCUUGGAAGGCUGCCGCAGCACAGAAUUUCAUUCCUCCCUCAUGUAUCCUCUGAGCUAUUGUCUGAGUUUGGACAGCAGCAAAUUAGUCAUCUCUGGACAGGGGUUGUACUGCUCUAGGAUGCAGAAAUUUGUGAGGCUACUGUGGAGGGAGAAGAUUGACCCAGCUGGAAGAGAAGUGAGAAAGUGGUAUAUAAAGAUACGCCCUGUUUUAACAGGGUUCCCCUCAACUACAACCAGACAAGUAGAUUAAAUACAAGUAGUUUUGGGGUGAAUCUCAGGAGACAGCAUAAGAAGGUGAGGAAGUGGAUUUGAAAGGGUCAGAAGCCAAUAAAGUGUGUGCUGUGAAGUCACCACUAAAGGCAACUGAGGCUCAGUCUUUACAGGGUAGUUUGGGAGAUGGUGAAUGAGAUGAAAUUGAGUUUUUAGAUCCCAACUGUUUUAACAUUGAUAAAAGUGUUAGAAAACGCAUUUCAGAGUGAUGUUUGCAAAAUAUGGAUCAUAUACCGAAUAUCAAGAGAAUAUAUGGAACUCACAGCAGAUUCAGAUUUGAAUGAUUUCCUGAGUGCCAGGCACUGUGUCACCUUUCACAAAGAUUUUUUGUUUAACCCUCACAAUAAUCUGGUAAAGUAGGUACAGUUGUCCCCAUUUUUACAUAUAAAGAACCUGGAGCUUGGGGCCAGGCCAGUGGCAUGGUGGUUAUGUUCACACACUCCGCCUUGACUGCCCAGGGUUUUUGGGUUCAAAUCCUGGGCGUGGACCUACACACCGCUCCUCAAGCUGUGCUGUGGAGGUGUCCCACAUACAAAAUCAAGGAAGAUUGGCACAGAUGUUAGCUUUGGGCCAAUCUUCCACACACACACACAAAAAAGAAACUGGAGCUCAGAGAAGAUAAAUGCCUUACGAAAUAUGAUACAGCUAGUAUAAAGGAGAUCUUGGAUUAUAUUCAGAUUUCCUAACUCCAAAUAUAGUGAGAGGCAAAAGAGAACAUUGGAAAGAACAGGAGUUUUGGAGUCUUAUUUUUGUUAUACUCAGUUGAUGGUCAGGAAAAUAUCCAAAUCUCAACAACCAGUAAUGGAGUGGGUAUCUACACAGCAGAGCAGCUGCAGGCCAAUACGUGGAACAGAUUGUCUGCCUGCACAUCAGCCCUGCAUGUAACCUUGGACAAACUCCUUCACUUCUCUGGGCUUCACUUUCUUCAUCUGUAAAGUGGGUAUGUAAUAUCUACCAUAAAAGCUAAACACUUUGUCCAUUGUCAAGGCUAAAUAAAUUCAGUUCUAUUGCAUUCGUUCCAAUGCACAUAUUUGAUGCUCUAACACCUUGGUAAAUUCUCAAAUAAGUCUGUUCCUGUUGUAAAUACCAACAUCAGCAGUGAAUAGGGCACGUCAAAGAAAUCAACUACUUCCGCAUACCUAAAGCUAGAGGUUAGUAUUGAGAGAAACAACUACCACAACUUUAUCGAACGUAAAUGUAAAAGCUAGCAUUUACACUUGUCUAAGUUCUUCCUUCAAGUGCCAUGAUAAUGAC
rnacentral:lncRNA from 1 species